CAUCCCAAAAUAAAGUUUCAUAAAAAUCCCCUUAAUCAAACUAAGGUCUUAUUACAUUAUCCAUAAUUCACUUAUUACAAGGUCUCAAUGCCACAAACACAAUAAAAAAAAAAUAAAACCUUUCCACUAAACCGCUCCAGGGGCAUCCUGAAGUCCUCCCUGUCCCAUCUGUGGAUCCUCAUGAGUGAUAUCUGCAUCUAAAAAGAUAUAAAAAAUGAAGGGAUGAGCAUUUCCACAUUGCUCAGUAGGGUGCCUAACACCCAUAGGGUUAAUGGGGGAUUACUAUAUUUUGAGAACCUAAACGCAACAAUUCACCAAUAUAAAUCAAGUCACACAAUUUAACAUAUAACAUUAAACUCAAUUCCACAACAUCCAAUCAUUAAAUGAAUGCAUAUAAACUAAUGACACACAAUCAUACAAUGCACUAUCGUUCUCAGGCUUUCACUAAAGGAUACGCGUCCGCACCCAAAUAUACUCCCCAUUCGGAGUCUUCCCGGGGUAAACUUUUGGGUCUUUCACCCUAGGGAUCUCUCUCCCUUCUUAGUUCGCCUCACACGGGCUUUCACUUUUCAUCACUAUUUUAUUUCUUUUUUCCAUUUCAUACACUUUUCACAAUUUUUUUUCUUCAUACAACCAUGAUGCAAAUGAAUGCCACAAACUCAAAAAUUCCUUAAUAAUUUUAACAAUUCCAACAUUUUCAAUAACCCAAUAAAAUAAAAUUUUCACAUUAAAAUUCCCGAAAAUAUACCAACGAAUUUUCGGAAAUUCACACAUCAAUAUACUUGAAUUUAUAUCACAAUUUCAGAAAUUUUCAAUAAUUCUAAUAAUUCCUAAUAUUUGAAAAUAAUUAUUUUUUCACAAUAAAAUUACCGCAAAUAUUCCAAUAAAUUUUCAAAAAUUCAUAAAUUACUAGAUUUGAAAUCUUGCCCUAAUUCCGGAAUUUUCCUACAUUUCUAACAAUUUUUAACAACCUAAAAUAAUUAUUUAUCAAUUACAAAGAAUUCCGAAAAUUAUAAAAAAUUCCAAACAAAUUCUAAAUAAUCCAGAAAAAUUCAUACAACACCCAUAUUUCCUACUUAACUCAUAAUGACAAUAUUUACAAUUUUUUUUUCAAAGGAAAAACACAUUAAAUUUAAGUUUUAGGGUUAGGGUCCCCUACCACAAAUCUGAGAAUUUGGCCGUUAA
rnacentral:lncRNA from 1 species